CCGAUCCGCCAUUGGAGUAAUGCUGGUGAGGAUGGCGAUUGAAAAGUUCGGGGUAACAGCCGUGAGAAAUGCAUGGUAUGAUGCGAAACAAGUGACAGAGCAUAUCAUAGAGGGAUACACAAAGCCUCUGAGAGCAAAGGGAUGGGACAGAGCUCUAGUGGAAUUCACCGUCGCUAUGCUCACUGAGAAGAAACCGCCAUUGGCGAAAAGGCUCAAAGACAUCAAAUGC